rnacentral:rRNA from 1 species
GAUGAACGCUGGCGGCGUGCCUAAUACAUGCAAGUCGAGCGAAUGGAUUAAGAGCUUGCUCUUAUGAAGUUAGCGGCGGACGGGUGAGUAACACGUGGGUAACCUGCCCAUAAGACUGGGAUAACUCCGGGAAACCGGGGCUAAUACCGGAUAACAUUUUGAACCGCAUGGUUCGAAAUUGAAAGGCGGCUUCGGCUGUCACUUAUGGAUGGACCCGCGUCGCAUUAGCUAGUUGGUGAGGUAACGGCUCACCAAGGCAACGAUGCGUAGCCGACCUGGGAGGUUGAUCGGCCAACCUGGGGCUGAGACACGGCCCAGACUCCUACGGGAGGCAGCAGUAGGGAAUCUUCCGAAAUAGACGAAAGUCUGACGGAGCAACGCCGCGUGAGUGAUGAAGGCUUUCGGGUCGUAAAACUCUGUUGUUAGGGAAGAACAAGUGCUAGUUGAAUAAGCUGGCACCUUGACGGUACCUAACCAGAAAGCCACGGCUAACUACGUGCCAGCCGCCGCAGUAA